CCUACGGGUGGCAGCAGUGAGGAAUAUUGGUCAAUGGACGAGAGUCUGAACCAGCCAAGUAGCGUGAAGGAUGACUGCCCUAUGGGUUGUAAACUUCUUUUAUAUGGGAAUAAAAUGUUACACGUGUGGGAUUUUGUAUGUACCAUAUGAAUAAGGAUCGGCUAACUCCGUGCCAGCAGCCGCGGUAAUACGGUGGAUCCGAGCGUUAUCCGGAUUUAUUGGGUUUAAAGGGAGCGUAGGUGGAUUGUUAAGUCAGUUGUGAAAGUUUGCGGCUCAACCGUAAAAUUGCAGUUGAAACUGGCAGUCUUGAGUACAGUAGAGGUGGGCGGAAUUCGUGGUGUAGCGGUGAAAUGCUUAGAUAUCACGAAGAACUCCGAUUGCGAAGGCAGUUCACUGGACUGCAACUGACACUGAGGCUCGAAAGUGUGGGUAUCAAACAGGAUUAGAUACCCCAGUAGUC
rnacentral:rRNA from 1 species